GAAGGUAUAGCUCAGUGGUUGAGCACAUGCUUAGCAUCCCAAGGUCCUGGGUACAACCCCUAGUACCUCCA
rnacentral:tRNA from 1 species